rnacentral:rRNA from 5 species
UACCAGCUGGCUGCAACUGUUUAUUAAAAACACAGCACUGUGCAAACACGAAAGUGGACGUAUACGGUGUGACGCCUGCCCGGUGCCGGAAGGUUAAUUGAUGGGGUCAGCGCAAGCGAAGCUCCUGAUCGAAGCCCCGGUAAACGGCGGCCGUAACUAUAACGGUCCUAAGGUAGCGAAAUUCCUUGUCGGGUAAGUUCCGACCUGCACGAAUGGCGUAAUGAUGGCCAGGCUGUCUCCACCCGAGACUCAGUGAAAUUGAACUCGCUGUGAAGAUGCAGUGUACCCGCGGCAAGACGGAAAGACCCCGUGAACCUUUACUAUAGCUUGACACUGAACAUUGAGCCUUGAUGUGUAGGAUAGGUGGGAGGCUUUGAAGUGUGGACGCCAGUCUGCAUGGAGCCGACCUUGAAAUACCACCCUUUAAUGUUUGAUGUUCUAACGUGGACCCGUAAUCCGGGUUGCGGACAGUGUCUGGUGGGUAGUUUGACUGGGGCGGUCUCCUCCUAAAGAGUAACGGAGGAGCACGAAGGUUGGCUAAUCCUGGUCGGACAUCAGGAGGUUAGUGCAAUGGCAUAAGCCAGCUUGACUGCGAGCGUGACGGCGCGAGCAGGUGCGAAAGCAGGUCAUAGUGAUCCGGUGGUUCUGAAUGGAAGGGCCAUCGCUCAACGGAUAAAAGGUACUCCGGGGAUAACAGGCUGAUACCGCCCAAGAGUUCAUAUCGACGGCGGUGUUUGGCACCUCGAUGUCGGCUCAUCACAUCCUGGGGCUGAAGUAGGUCCCAAGGGUAUGGCUGUUCGCCAUUUAAAGUGGUACGCGAGCUGGGUUUAGAACGUCGUGAGACAGUUCGGUCCCUAUCUGCCGUGGGCGCUGGAGAACUGAGGGGGGCUGCUCCUAGUACGAGAGGACCGGAGUGGACGCAUCACUGGUGUUCGGGUUGUCAUGCCAAUGGCACUGCCCGGUAGCUAAAUGCGGAAGAGAUAAGUGCUGAAAGCAUCUAAGCACGAAACUUGCCCCGAGAUGAGUUCUCCCUGAGACUUUAGGUCUCCUGAAGGAACGUUGAAGACGACGACGUUGAUAGGCCGGGUGUGUAAGCGCAGCGAUGCGUUGAGCUAACCGGUACUAAUGAACCGUGAGGCUUAACCUUACA